rnacentral:rRNA from 1 species
CCUACGGGAGGCAGCAGUGGGGAAUAUUGCACAAUGGGGGAAACCCUGAUGCAGCGACGCCGCGUGAGUGAAGAAGUAUUUCGGUACGUAAAGCUCUAUCAGCAGGGAAGAAAAUGACGGUACCUGACUAAGAAGCCCCGGCUAACUACGUGCCAGCAGCCGCGGUAAUACGUAGGGGGCAAGCGUUAUCCGGAUUUAUUGGGUUUAAAGGGUGCGCAGGCGGUCUGUUAAGUCAGCGGUCAAAGCCCGGGGCUCAACCCCGGCCCGCCGUUGAAACUGGCAGUCUCGAGUUGGAGAGAAGUAUGCGGAAUGCGCGGUGUAGCGGUGAAAUGCAUAGAUAUCGCGCAGAACUCCGAUUGCGAAGGCAGCAUGCCGGCUCCACACUGACGCUGAGGCACGAAAGCGUGGGUAUCGAACAGGAUUAGAUACCCUAGUAGUC